rnacentral:rRNA from 1 species
GUCUAUGGCCAUGCCACCCUGAACAAGCCUGAUGUCUGAUCUCAGAUGCUAAGCAGGGUCAGGCCUGGUUAGUACUUGGAAAGGAGACCACCUAGGAAGAUCAGGUGCUGUAGGCA